GGAAGAUCCUGGUUUGUCUUUGGUUAGUCAAACAGCAUUAUCUUUCUCAUUUUCUUGGCUAUAUGCGGACUGACUUUAUAUGCUGAGUUUGUUAUAGUUCUUCUAGCUAAUUUGCUGAUACUUUCUGAAUUAAGUUUCAAGGAACAUUGAAGGUUUACAUAUUUGCUUGCUUGGGAUUAUAAACAGAUGUGUUUCUAGGCACAAUGAUUUUUUUUCCCCUUCCUUUCCUUGGGGCAUAUUUAGCAGUCUGUAUUUUCUGCCAUUAAUUUUUUGCUCCAUGCUUAGUCUUCAACAUCACUCUUAAUCAUGUUCACCAAGAACCUUCACCAUUCAUGCAGCUGUUGAAUAGGUAACGUUUUAACUACCCAGUGCAUUUUACAUGCAGAACAUGGUGUUGUCAUUGAAAUCAGAUAUUUAAGUUACAUUUUGUUUCAAACACUAAUGAUAGGAAAUAAUAACAGCCUCUUGAUAUCAACAAUCUUGGUUGCGCAGCUGUUGAAUGAAAUAUGUGCUGAGGUUAAGAGGUUGUCACUGUUUCCAUUUUAGUUUGAGACAUAAAUCAAUUUAAAUUUAUAUGUUCAGUAACAAUUGACAACAAUUUCCGAGUGCCAAAUACACUGGUGACGUUGCCAAGUUAUGAAUAGAGAUUAGAUGGACAGAUUCGAGGCAGUGGAAGUUCCUUGCCUCGAACCUUGUCUUUUGUCCUCACUUUCCAAAUGAAAGUUGAGGCUUGGAUAACCCCAAUCAAUUAAUGGGAUCCAUCACCUCUUCUACUUCAAUUUCACUAUGUCUAUAAACCAUUUAAUUUUAAUUUGUUUUAAAUUCAUUCAUUUUUCUAUUUGAUAAAGCACUCCAAAACUAAUUGUUAUGUGCAUGGUUGAAAAUUCUACACAGAUUGCAAUUUGUCAUUUUGUGAAAUUUGGAAUUGGUUAUACUGUUGGAAUUGCUUGUGAGUUGUGACACCUUGAAGUUGAAAGACACUGCUACCUUUCAGGUAAUGUUAUGCAGUGUUUGGUGGUUGGGAGAAUAGCAUGCCAUUUGAAGUAAAUUUCCUGAUGUUCACUGUUAGACUUCUCGAUGUUGAUUUCAUGUCUUGCAUCUUUCUAUUAGCCAUUGUUAAUCUUGUUUAAUCAGGGCACAAGAGGUGUGAUCUGGAUGUGUUCAGACCCUAUAGUGUUUUCCAAUGAAGUGACAAACUUGUGCUUCACUUUGUACAACUUAGCACUGCAGCUGUAACAUUGUAUCUUAAUGUUGAUUAUUGUGAUGGUUAAAGUAUAAUCCAAGAUAUAUGCUACUUUUUGUCGUCUUACUUUACACUUGGUAACUUCAUUAUAAUCCAAGAUAUAUGCUACUUUUUGUCGUCUUACUUUACACUUGGUAACUUCAUUAUAAUCACUUACAAGUCAAAAUGCCAAGAUGUCCUUAUUUUGAUGCACUACAAUAUAUCUUGUUGUAGGUGACAAAAACUUAUAAUUACAU
rnacentral:misc_RNA from 1 species